CAGUCUCACUGUAGGUGUAUAAUAGGCAAAUAUCAUAGUUUGUCAUGGCCGCUGGAGAGUUGCCCUUUAUAUAUACAAUGGAUUUGGAUUGGAUUGAACCCGACAUCUCGCCAUCACAGAACCGUAGUUGCUUCAUCGACAACGUUGUCUUCUCCCGGGCGUACUCAAACAAGGAAUUUUUAAUGGAGUUCAUUCCUAGCAACAAAACUUUUUUACUCUUUUCUUUAUAGUCAUCAUCAAAACUCAUCUCUUUCUCUUCUUAACUUCAGUUCCUUCCCAAGUUACACCAACUCUUCUUGUUCUUCUUCGUUUGUAAUCAAUUACCUGAUCAAUUUCAUGUGCACCGCUAGUGAGAAAUAUAACUAAAAAUCUGACGGUUGCCGGUCAAUUGCCCUUCUAUUUUCAAGAAACCCCGACCCUCACGAGAUCUUCCCCAAUUAUACAAAAGCCAUUCACACGGCCGGCAUGCGAAAACACACAUUAUUUCGAACAAUUAAACCAGCGUCGCAACCGCAAACCACCAACAGUGUAGGUACUCCCCAUUUUCUCAAAUGGCUAGUAUCCGUGAUGAGCUGAAGAUGUCUGUUGAGGAGGAGGAGGAGGAAAGGAAGAGCAAUGCUAUCCUUAGGAAGGAACUAAUAGCAAGAACACUAAGGCAAAGAGAAAGUACUAAUGAAUAUUUGAAAGCUCUGGGGGAGGAGCCCAUAAGUUACGAUUCCGAAAUUACCGAGCAUGAUUGGCUCCUUAAUCUUUCUGAAACGGAUCACUACGGAUAUCCUAGAUGACAACGACAGUCGAGGAAAGUUGUUCAUAAAGAGAAAAAGGUAUCCCGCAAAAGCCUUAGCUGGCAGCAAGGAGGCUAAUGGGGCGGACUUGUAGUAAAAUCAAGGUUCAUCUGCAGUUGUCUUUCGGGAAGUAGCCGCUCAUCAACCUUCCCUCAUUUUUUGGAACUCAGUUUGCUCUUUUUUCUCCUUCUUUAUGUCCUCUUCGAACUUGUUAUACAUGCUGUAAUCUGGAAUUCUAAUGAAGACAGGUCGUUUAUGCCUUUGUGGUUCAAAAAUUAGUCUCGUGUUUUUUUUCUUCCACAAAUCUAUACGUCACAUGCCUCGGUAGUUCGCUUAAGGAUAGGUCUUAAGCCAUCACAAACUGCUAUUGGUUACACUUAAGCGAAAUGCGAUUCCCAAGUCAUAUGUGAUGUAGGAAACCCUUAAGCAGUGAAGAAAGUGCUUUAUUUCCGUGGAGGUGAUAGGACAUUCCACAGUUUUAGUUAGCAAGGUUUGCAAUAUUAAUUUGAUUGGCUAACUCACAUUUUAGCUUACGAAUUCGUAUAACCAGCUACUAAUACUAGAAUAUGAACCUUUGAAUUAGGGAGUUCGUAUAACUGGUAACUGGUUACUAGUUAGGUGAUCGAAAUUGAGUUUUGAAGUUUUUAUUUUAAAGCCCCAUGUGCCACUUCGAGACGAAAGAUCAGAUUGUUGUUCUGAUUAUUGUGUCCCUUUUCUGGAAAGGUGCCACUUUCUUGAUCACCUGUUUAGUUUCUUAAAUAUGUUAAGAAGCGGUGGUACACUACGAGAUGAUCACCUAUGGUUGUCUGGCUUAUGAAAGUCAGGCUUUUCUUGUCACUGCACGGACUAAAGCCAAUAGAAGUCGCAGUUUUAGGCGGUAAUUGUCGAUGUGUUGAGAUUCUUUUUCCAGUGACUUCUCCUAUUCCAUCAUAUGCUGACGGGAGCGUAAAUGGAACAAUGAAGCAUGCAAAUCCAAAGAAGUUUGAAAAAGAGGUAACCAUGAUUUAUCUUUUUCUUUCUCUUUUUGAGAUUUUGGAUAGUGUUUCAAGUUUCAACAUUUUGGGACCAAAUUGACUUCACUAGUUUUUCACUGACUUUCUGUAAAGCAACUAUCACUUGAUGUUCUGGAUCAAUAUAAGAUUUGUACUGUGUAUGUCAUACCAGUAACUCUCCUGUCAUUAUAUUUGUUUCCGUUGGCAUUCAGCAGUUUCAAACUUCCAUGCAAUGAAGCUCGUAAAUGUGUAGUUUAUAGAAACAUUUCAAGCAAAUUUACUGUAUUAAAUCUUCUAAUUAUACAUCUCAGUUGUUUUUGAAGUCUUAAAAAGUUGUUAUUUAGCUUAAUUCAUAUGCAGAAAGACACGUUGUUGCUAUAGUAGAGUUAAGAUGGGAAACCACCCAUAUGCACGUUUCCACAUUGUCUCACGGUAAUCUUUAAAAUUAGAAGGUGUUGGGUUCUUAGCCUAUUUCUUUCAAGGUGUCUUGUAUUUUACUUUCUCCCAGUGAUGGAUUGGUUACUCUAGUAAUUUAUUUCUCGGGCCCUCCGCCCUCCACAUAAGCCUGGCGAUGCAAUCUUGCUUUUGAAGAUGCUAAAUGCAUGCUGGAAAGACCAGACUGUCCUAAGGCUUUUUAGCCUUUUCCGAUAGUUUGGAAGUGGAUCCUGGAAACAGAGCUUGAAGAUGCAUUCAGGGAGUUUUCUUUAGCCCAGGAGGCCAUGAUUAAAAGGAAGAUAAUGGAUAUACAUACAGAUACUCCGAUCCAGUCUUUUUUGGGGAAGUUUUAGUCAUCUUCUGUAAAAAGUUAGAAAGUCACUAAAACAAUCUCUUGAACAAUGUAGUAGCUCUUGAAAGUCUCUUUUGUAAAAAGGCAGGUUUAC